AGAGUUCGAUCCUGGCUCAGAACGAACGCUGGCGGCGGGUCUUAAACAUGCAAGUCGAACGGUAGCAGGGUGUAGCAAUACAUUGCUGACGAGUGGCGGACGGGUGAGUAACACGUAGGAAUCUGCCUCGAAGAGGGGGACAACUUCUGGAAACGGAAGCUAAUACCCCAUAGUCCUGAAAAGGUAAAGGAUGGGUAACCAUUCGCUUUGAGAUGAGCCUGCGGUCUAUCAGCUUGUUGGUGGGGUAAUGGCCUACCAAGGCAGCGACGGAUAGCCGGUCUGAGAGGAUGAUCGGCCACACUGGAACUGAGACACGGUCCAGACUCCUACGGGAGGCAGCAGUUAAGAAUCUUGCGCAAUGGGGGAAACCCUGACGCAGCCACGCCGCGUGAACGAUGAAGGCUUUCGGGUUGUAAAGUUCAGUAGAAUGGGAAGAAUAAGUCAAGUCGAAUAGGCUUGGUGAUGACGGUACUAUUCUGAAGCCCCGGCUAAUUACGUGCCAGCAGCCGCGGUAAUACGUAUGGGGCGAGCGUUGUUCGGAUUUAUUGGGCGUAAAGGGCACGCAGGCGGAUUGGUAAGUUGGAUGUUUAAGCGUUAGGCUCAACCUAAUAACAGCAUCCAAAACUGCCUUUCUAGAAUCCUGGAGAGGAAAGCGGAAUUCUCGGUGUAGCGGUGGAAUGCGUAGAUAUCGAGAGGAACACCAAUGGCGAAGGCAGCUUUCUGGACAGAGAUUGACGCUCAGGUGCGAAAGCGUGGGGAGCAAACAGGAUUAGAUACCCUGGUAGUCCACGCCUUAAACGUUGUAUACUAGAUGUUGGGGGUUUCAACGCCCUCAGUGUCGUCGCUAACGCAGUAAGUAUACCGCCUGGGGAGUAUGCCCGCAAGGGUGAAACUCAAAGGAAUUGACGGGGGCCCGCACAAGCGGUGGAGCAUGUGGUUUAAUUCGAUGAUACGCGAAAAACCUUACCCGGGCUUGACAUCCACUAGACAGGUGUAGAGAUACACUCUCCUUUAUGGCUGGUGGACAGGUGUUGCAUGGUUGUCGUCAGCUCGUGUUGUGAAAUGUUGGGUUAAGUCCCGCAACGAGCGCAACCCUUUCCUUAUGUUGCUACCAGUUCGGCUGGGCACUCUUAAGGUACCGCCGGUGAUAAACCGGAGGAAGGUGAGGAUGACGUCAAAUCAGCAUGGCCCUUACGUCCGGGGCUACACACGUGCUACAAUGGCCGGUACAGAGGGGCGCCAAGCCGCGAGGCGGAGCAAAUCUCAGAAAGCCGGUCCAAGUUCGGAUUGUAGUCUGCAACUCGACUACAUGAAGCCGGAAUCGCUAGUAAUCGCGGAUCAGCAUUGCCGCGGUGAAUACGUUCCCGGGCCUUGUACACACCGCCCGUCACACCACCCGAGUUUGAGGUGCCCGAAGUGGACGCGCUAACCGAAAGGAGGCAGUUUACUAAGGCAAAGUAGGCGAGGGGGGUGAAGUCGAAACAAGGUAGCCGUACCGGAAGGUGUGGCUG
rnacentral:rRNA from 1 species